UCUCCGUUGGUGAACCAGCGGAGGGAUCAUUACCGAGUUUACAACUCCCAAACCCAAUGUGAACGUUACCAAACUGUUGCCUCGGCGGGAUCUCUGCCCCGGGUGCGUCGCAGCCCCGGACCAAGGCGCCCGCCGGAGGACCAACCAAAACUCUUUAUGUAUACCCCCUCGCGGGUUUUUUUACAAUCUGAGCCAUCUCGGCGCCCCUCGUGGGCGUUUCGAAAAUGAAUCAAAACUUUCAACAACGGAUCUCUCGGUUCUG
rnacentral:misc_RNA from 1 species